rnacentral:rRNA from 1 species
UACGUAGGGGGCAAGCGUUGUCCGGAAUCAUUGGGCAUAAAGAGCGUGUAGGCGGUCCGAUAAGUCCGCUCUGAAAGCCCGGGGCUCAACCCCGGGAGGCGGGCGGAUACUGUCGGGCUAGAGUCCGGAAGAGGCAAGUGGAAUUCCUGGUGUAGCGGUGAAAUGCGCAGAUAUCAGGAGGAACACCGAUGGCGAAGGCAGCUUGCUGGGACGGUACUGACGCUGAGACGCGAAAGCGUGGGGAGCAAACAGG